CCUACGGGUGGCAGCAGUGAGGAAUAUUGGUCAAUGGGCGCGAGCCUGAACCAGCCAAGUCGCGUGAGGGAGGACGGCCCUACGUGUUGUAAACCUCUUUUGCCGGGGCGCAACGGGCGUCACGUGGGGCGCCACUGAGAGUACCCGGAGACAAAGCAUCGGCUAACUCCGUGCCAGCCGCCGCGGUCAUACGGAGGAUGCGAGCGUUAUCCGGUUUUAUUGGGUUUCAAGGGUGCGUAGGCGGGUAGUUAAGUCAGUGGUAAAAUAGAGGGGCUCAACCCCCUCCCGCCAGUGAAACUGGCGCUCUUGAGUGGAAGAGAAGUAUGCGGAAUGCGUGGUGUAGCGGU
rnacentral:rRNA from 1 species